CCAAUUCUUUCAUCUGUCCAUCUUAUCUUCUCUAUUUAACCCCUACCCCACAAUAGAAACUCUCUCUUUCAUUAUCUUCUUCCUCGCAAACUAUAAUUCAGUUGCCGAUGCUUGCAGAAUCUCACUGGAAAAGAAGUUUAACCAAAAAAAACUCAGGGGUGCGUCCGCCCACCCUGGGAUGGGUGUAGGUCCGUCCCUGUGUGGACGUAUAUGGUAGGGAUGUGUGUGAUGAAGUGAUGUGAUGUGAUGGUAAGAUGGAGGAUAAGAAGUAGAAAACCUUAAAAUGGAAGUCUUCUGGUUGCCACUUUAGCCCAACGUCAACCACCUUGGUUCCUUUGAAGAUAUGUUUUUUUAUUCCAUCUCCUUGAUUUAUACAAUCUAGCCAUAUUUGAGAAUUUUGAAUUUAGCUAUAAAUUGGGUGUUUUAUUGGAUGUUGAGUCCUAAAUUUGGUGUGUUGGUGAAUGUUAAGCUCUAAUUUGGGUGUUUUGUUGAAUAUUGAGCCAUAAAUUGGAUGUUUCGUUGACUGUUAGACUCUA
rnacentral:lncRNA from 1 species